rnacentral:rRNA from 1 species
AACGAACGCUGGCGGCAGGCCUAACACAUGCAAGUCGAACGCUCCGCAAGGGGAGUGGCGCACGGGUGAGUAACACGUGGGAACCUACCUUCUGGUACGGAACAACCAAGGGAAACUUUGGCUAAGACCGUAUACGACCUCCGGGUGAAAGAUUGAUCGCCGGAAGAGGGGCCCGCGUCCGAUUAGGUAGUUGGUGAGGUAACGGCUCACCAAGCCUUCGAUCGGUAGCUGGUCUGAGAGGAUGAUCAGCCACACUGGCACUGCGACACGGGCCAGACUCCUACGGGAGGCAGCAGUGAGGAAUAUUGCGCAAUGGGCGAAAGCCUGACGCAGCGACGCCGCGUGGGGAUGAAGGUCUUCGGAUUGUAAACCCCUUUCGGGAGGAAGAUGGGACGGGCAACCGUUCGGACGGUACCUCCAGAAGCAGCCACGGCUAACUUCGUGCCAG